rnacentral:tmRNA from 1 species
GGGGCCGUAAUGGAAUUGACAGGAAUGUUAGCUUUUAUGUAAGCACGCCGGAGCACGAUAGUUUACUCCGCAAAAAAUAGCUAUUAAACCCUCUUAGUUGGCAACACCAGCUAUGCUAUGGCAGCCUAAUCACAGAUUAGCUGACCUAACUGUGCCGUAUGGUUGAUGCCUGAUACACAUCAUGCCGCAUAUCAACACCCCCUUCAGGUUGCUCGGUGAGCUUGUCUCGACUCACCGCUAAGAUUAGAGGAUAAGGCGGUGAUUUAGUGGGUGACCAGACUUCCCCACCGCUCGAAAAUCCGAUUGGCCACUAAGCGUGUAGAAAGCAUCUUUGCGCCUUCGCUGGACGCGAGUUCGACUCUCGCCGGCUCCACUA